CCUACGGGUGGCAGCAGUGAGGAAUAUUGGUCAAUGGGCGCGAGCCUGAACCAGCCAAGUCGCGUGAGGGAAGACGGUCCUAUGGAUUGUAAACCUCUUUUGUCGGGGAGCAAAAGACUCCACGCGUGGCGUUUCGAGAGUACCCGAAGAAAAAGCAUCGGCUAAUUCCGUGCCAGCAGCCGCGGUAAUACGGAGGAUGCGAGCGUUAUCCGGAUUUAUUGGGUUUAAAGGGUGCGCAGGCGGUCGAUCAAGGUGGCGGGAAAAUUGGGGGGCUCAACCUGUUAGAGCCGUUGGAACUGGUGUGCUUGAGUGAGCGAGAGGCAUGCGGAAUGCGUGGUGUAGCGGUGAAAUGCAUAGAUAUCACGAAGAACCCCGAUUGCGAAGGCAGCAUGCCGGCGCUUAACUGACGCUCAAGCACGAAAGCGUGGGUAUCGAACAGGAUUAGAUACCCGUGUAGUC
rnacentral:rRNA from 1 species